GACGAACGCUGGCGGCGUGCUUAACACAUGCAAGUCGAGCGGUAAGGCCCUUUCGGGGGUACACGAGCGGCGAACGGGUGAGUAACACGUGGGUGACCUGCCCUUAGCUCUGGGAUAAGCCUGGGAAACUGGGUCUAAUACCGGAUAUGACCCCAUGACGCAUGUUGUGGGGUGGAAAGCCUUGUGCGGCUAGGGAUGGGCCUGCGGCCUAUCAGCUUGUUGGUGGGGUGAUGGCCACCAAGGCGACGACGGGUAGCCGGCCUGAGAGGGCGACCGGCCACACUGGGACUGAGACACGGCCCAGACUCCUACGGGAGGCAGCAGUGGGGAAUCUUGCGCAAUGGGCGAAAGCCUGACGCAGCGACGCCGCGUGGGGAUGAC
rnacentral:rRNA from 1 species